GCCGAAAUAGCUCAGUUGGGAGAGCGUAGCGUUAGACUGAAGAUCUAAAGGUCCCUGGUUCGAUCCCGGGUUUCGGCA